GGGCGCAAGCCUGAUGCAGCGACGCCGCGUGAGGGAUGGAGGCCUUCGGGUUGUAAACCUCUUUUAUCGGGGAGCAAGCGCGAGUGAGUUUACCCGUUGAAUAAGCACCGGCUGACUACGUGCCAGCAGCCGCGGUAAUACGUAGGGUGCAAGCGUUAUCCGGAAUUAUUGGGCGUAAAGGGCUCGUAGGCGGUUCGUCGCGUCCGGUGUGAAAGUCCAUCGCUUAACGGUGGAUCCGCGCCGGGUACGGGCGGGCUUGAGUGCGGUAGGGGAGACUGGAAUUCCCGGUGUAACGGUGGAAUGUGUAGAUAUCGGGAAGAACACC
rnacentral:rRNA from 1 species